rnacentral:rRNA from 1 species
GAAUUCGCCCUUAGAGUUUGAUUCUGGCUCAGGAUGAACGCUGGCGGCGUGCUUAACACAUGCAAGUCGAGCGAAGCACUUGUCAUUGACUCUUCGGAAGAUCUGGCAAAUGACUGAGCGGCGGACGGGUGAGUAACGCGUGGGUAACCUGCCUCAUACAGGGGAAUAACAGUUAGAAAUGGCUGCUAAUGCCGCAUAAGCGCACAGGACCGCAUGGUCUGGUGUGAAAAACUCCGGUGGUAUGAGAUGGACCCGCGUCUGAUUAGGUAGUUGGCGGGGUAACGGCCCACCAAGCCGACGAUCAGUAGCCGACCUGAGAGGGUGACCGGCCACAUUGGGACUGAGACACGGCCCAGACUCCUACGGGAGGCAGCAGUGGGGAAUAUUGCACAAUGGAGGAAACUCUGAUGCAGCGACGCCGCGUGAAGGAAGAAGUAUCUCGGUAUGUAAACUUCUAUCAGCAGGGAAGAAAAUGACGGUACCUGACUAAGAAGCCCCGGCUAACUACGUGCCAGCAGCCGCGGUAAUACGUAGGGGGCAAGCGUUAUCCGGAUUUACUGGGUGUAAAGGGAGCGUAGACGGACGGGCAAGUCUGAUGUGAAAGCCCGGGGCUUAACCCCGGGACUGCAUUGGAAACUGUCCAUCUUGAGUGCCGGAGAGGUAAGCGGAAUUCCUAGUGUAGCGGUGAAAUGCGUAGAUAUUAGGAGGAACACCAGUGGCGAAGGCGGCUUACUGGACGGUAACUGACGUUGAGGCUCGAAAGCGCGGGGAGCAAACAAAAUUAGAUACCCUGGUAGUCCACGCCGUAAA